AGGGGAAUGAUGUUCUCCCUUGGGAAACCUAAACCGCCAUAUGCUUUUUUGGCUGAUGACUUCUGCAAUUA
rnacentral:ncRNA from 1 species